UACGUAGGGUGCAAGCGUUGUUCGGAAUUACUGGGCGUAAAGCGCGCGUAGGCGGGCUUGAAAGUUGAUUGUGAAAGCCCUGGGCUUAACCCGGGGAUGGCAGUCAAAACUUCAAGUCUUGAGUGCCUGAGAGGAUGGCGGAAUUCCCGGUGUAGUAGUGAAAUACGUAGAUAUCGGGAAGAACACCUGAGGCGAAGGCGGCUAUCUGGCGGUGCACUGACGCUGAGGCGCGAAAGCGUGGGGAGCAAACAGG
rnacentral:rRNA from 1 species